GAGAAAUCGAAGUCCGAAUUCGAAGAAACGAAACCCUCGUUAGUUCGCCUCGCCGCAAGCUCACUGUGGCCCUUGUUGCUUCCGAUCCAAAAAUGAUUGAAAACAAACCUCGUCUCUUCGCACCCGAUCAAAACCUUCGCUCUUUUCGCUCGCGCCUCGUCGCUUCCGUCGAAAUGAAAACCCCUCUGCCUUAGCCGAACGAAAACCCUCCGCUUCCGAUCCGGUCUUGCCUUAGUCCCCUCGUCAAGAAUCCGGCCACGCUCACGCUUCCGACUCGGUCUCCCUCAGUCCCCUCGCUUCCAGUUCGGUAUUAACUCACGCUUUCGCUUUCGGUACAUUUUUUUGGUACUUUUACUUAUCUAUGUAAUUUUGGGGGUUUAUUUGGGAUUUGUAAUCCUAUUGGCUAUUUUCUUCUGUUUUUCUAGACAUUUGCACAUAUUAUUGUGUUGUCUACAAAAUGUUGAUAGUUUUUGAACGAAAAUUAUUAGAGGUUUCAUUUGUUUUGCUGUCCAAAUUUUUUUUGUUCCAUUCAACCGUGAUUGAUUAAUAAAUUAUUUUUUGUUCCAUUCAAACGUGAUUGUUGUCCAAGUUUUUUUUUUUUUUUUUGUGUCAUUCAAUUGUUCCAUUCAAAUUCAAUUGUAAAUUAUUAGAGCUUUCAUUUGAAUCGUAAAGCGCUAUUCCAUUCAACCGUGAUUGAUUAAUAAAUUAAUUUUUGUUAUAUUCAAACGUGAUUGUUGUCCAAGUUUUUUUUUGUGCCAUUCUAACGCAGAUUUAUUAAUAAAUUAAUUUUUGUUCGAUCUCGCAGUGUCUUGAGAACAGUUAAGUUGAUUCUUUAAAGUCAUCACAACGGACACGAAAUCAAACACUGCUGAAUCACCAUUUUCAAACUUCCCCCGUCCAUCAUCUUCCGUCCUUUUGAAAUAAGGAAUUGGAUUUGGAGCAUAAUGAUGAUUUUAAUGAAUGAGAAGUGAAAAGACCAAAGAUAAAGAAGAAAGCUCACUCAAGUCAUUCGUCAUGCCUUAUGAUGCAUUGGUGCUCUUGAAUGUUAUUAUUGAACUUGGAGCUUUUGAAUGUUAUUAUUGAACUUGGAAUUUUAUGUAAUAGGCCACUAGUCAUUAUUAAACUUGGACUUUUUGUUUCUAUUUUGAAUGUAGACUUGAAUAUUUUGAGUAGAGACUUUGAACUCGAAUAUUUGAAUUGAAUUAUUUGAGGAAGUUUCUUUUGAAGUUUAUAUUGAA